UACGGGGGUGGCAAGCGUUGUUCGGAAUUACUGGGCGUAAAGGGCGCGUAGGCGGGGAGGUAAGUCGGGUGUGAAAUCCCUCGGCUCAACCGAGGAACUGCGCCCGAGACUGCCUUUCUUGAGUCCCGGAGGGGAAGGUGGAAUUCCCGGUGUAGCGGUGAAAUGCGUAGAGAUCGGCAGGAACACCCAGGGGGAAACCAGUCGACUGGGCAUCUACUGACGCUGAGGUGCGAGAGCGUGGGGAGCGAACCGG
rnacentral:rRNA from 1 species